rnacentral:rRNA from 1 species
ACGCUCGACACCUACGGGNGGCAGCAGUGGGGAAUAUUGCACAAUGGGGGAAACCCUGAUGCAGCGACGCCGCGUGAAGGAAGAAGUAUCUCGGUAUGUAAACUUCUAUCAGCAGGGAAGAAAAUGACGGUACCUGACUAAGAAGCCCCGGCUAACUACGUGCCAGAAGCCGCGGUAAUCUGAGCGGGCUGGCAAGGC